AACGAACGCUGGCGGCUUGCCUAACACAUGCAAGUCGAACGAGAUCUUCGGGUCUAGUGGCGCACGGGUGCGUAACGCGUGGGAAUCUGCCCUUUGGUUCGGAAUAACAGUUGGAAACGACUGCUAAUACCGGAUGAUGACGAAAGUCCAAAGAUUUAUCGCCAGGGGAUGAGCCCGCGUAGGAUUAGCUAGUUGGUGUGGUAAAGGCGCACCAAGGCGACGAUCCUUAGCUGGUCUGAGAGGAUGAUCAGCCACACUGGGACUGAGACACGGCCCAGACUCCUACGGGAGGCAGCAGUGGGGAAUAUUGGACAAUGGGCGAAAGCCUGAUCCAGCAAUGCCGCGUGAGUGAUGAAGGCCUUAGGGUUGUAAAGCUCUUUUACCCGGGAUGAUAAUGACAGUACCGGGAGAAUAAGCUCCGGCUAACUCCGUGCCAGCCGCCGCAGUAA
rnacentral:rRNA from 1 species